GCAGUCGAACGAACUCUGGUAUUGAUUGGUGCUUGCAUCAUGAUUUACAUUUGAGUGAGUGGCGAACUGGUGAGUAACACGUGGGAAACCUGCCCAGAAGCGGGGGAUAACACCUGGAAACAGAUGCUAAUACCGCAUAACAACUUGGACCGCAUGGUCCGAGUUUGAAAGAUGGCUUCGGCUAUCACUUUUGGAUGGUCCCGCGGCGUAUUAGCUAGAUGGUGAGGUAACGGCUCACCAUGGCAAUGAUACGUAGCCGACCUGAGAGGGUAAUCGGCCACAUUGGGACUGAGACACGGCCCAAACUCCUACGGGAGGCAGCAGUAGGGAAUCUUCCACAAUGGACGAAAGUCUGAUGGAGCAACGCCGCGUGAGUGAAGAAGGGUUUCGGCUCGUAAAACUCUGUUGUUAAAGAAGAACAUAUCUGAGAGUAACUGUUCAGGUAUUGACGGUAUUUAACCAGAAAGCCACGGCUAACUACGUGCCAGCAGCCGCGGUAAUACGUAGGUGGCAAGCGUUGUCCGGAUUUAUUGGGCGUAAAGCGAGCGCAGGCGGUUUUUUAAGUCUGAUGUGAAAGCCUUCGGCUCAACCGAAGAAGUGCAUCGGAAACUGGGAAACUUGAGUGCAGAAGAGGACAGUGGAACUCCAUGUGUAGCGGUGAAAUGCGUAGAUAUAUGGAAGAACACCAGUGGCGAAGGCGGCUGUCUGGUCUGUAACUGACGCUGAGGCUCGAAAGUAUGGGUAGCAAACAGGAUUAGAUACCCUGGUAGUCCAUACCGUAAACGAUGAAUGCUAAGUGUUGGAGGGUUUCCGCCCUUCAGUGCUGCAGCUAACGCAUUAAGCAUUCCGCCUGGGGAGUACGGCCGCAAGGCUGAAACUCAAAGGAAUUGACGGGGGCCCGCACAAGCGGUGGAGCAUGUGGUUUAAUUCGAAGCUACGCGAAGAACCUUACCAGGUCUUGACAUACUAUGCAAAUCUAAGAGAUUAGACGUUCCCUUCGGGGACAUGGAUACAGGUGGUGCAUGGUUGUCGUCAGCUCGUGUCGUGAGAUGUUGGGUUAAGUCCCGCAACGAGCGCAACCCUUAUUAUCAGUUGCCAGCAUUAAGUUGGGCACUCUGGUGAGACUGCCGGUGACAAACCGGAGGAAGGUGGGGAUGACGUCAAAUCAUCAUGCCCCUUAUGACCUGGGCUACACACGUGCUACAAUGGAUGGUACAACGAGUUGCGAACUCGCGAGAGUAAGCUAAUCUCUUAAAGCCAUUCUCAGUUCGGAUUGUAGGCUGCAACUCGCCUACAUGAAGUCGGAAUCGCUAGUAAUCGCGGAUCAGCAUGCCGCGGUGAAUACGUUCCCGGGCCUUGUACACACCGCCCGUCACACCAUGAGAGUUUGUAACACCCAAAGUCGGUGGGGUAACCUUUUAGAACCAG
rnacentral:rRNA from 2 species